rnacentral:rRNA from 1 species
GAUGAACGCUGGCGGCGUGCCUAAUACAUGCAAGUCGAGCGAACGGACGAGAAGCUUGCUUCUCUGAUGUUAGCGGCGGACGGGUGAGUAACACGUGGAUAACCUACCUAUAAGACUGGGAUAACUUCGGGAAACCGGAGCUAAUACCGGAUGAUAUUUUGAACCGCAUGGUUCAAAAGUGAAAGACGGUCUUGCUGUCACUUAUAGAUGGAUCCGCGCUGCAUUAGCUAGUUGGUAAGGUAACGGCUUACCAAGGCAACGAUGCAUAGCCGACCUGAGAGGGUGAUCGGCCACACUGGAACUGAGACACGGUCCAGACUCCUACGGGAGGCAGCAGUAGGGAAUCUUCCGCAAUGGGCGAAAGCCUGACGGAGCAACGCCGCGUGAGUGAUGAAGGUCUUCGGAUCGUAAAACUCUGUUAUUAGGGAAGAACAUAUGUGUAAGUAACUGUGCACAUCUUGACGGUACCUAAUCAGAAAGCAACGGCUAACUACGUG